rnacentral:rRNA from 1 species
CCUACGGGGGGCAGCAGUGAGGAAUAUUGGUCAAUGGACGCAAGUCUGAACCAGCCAAGCCGCGUGCAGGAAGACGGCCCUAUGAGUUGUAAACUUCUUUUGUACGAGGGUAAACGCAGAUACGCGUAUCUGUCUGAAAGUAUCAUACGAAUAAGGAUCGGCUAACUCCGUGCCAGCAGCCGCGGUAAUACGGAGGAUUCAAGCGUUAUCCGGAUUUAUUGGGUUUAAAGGGUGCGUAGGCGGGCGGAUAAGUUAGAGGUGAAAUCCUGGGGCUCAACCUCGGAAUUGCCGUUGAUACUGUUCGUCUAGAGUGUAGUAGAGGUAGGCGGAAUGUGUGGUGUAGCGGUGAAAUGCUUAGAGAUCACACAGAACACCGAUUGCGAAGGCAGCUUAC